rnacentral:rRNA from 1 species
AAAUUGAAGAGUUUGAUCAUGGCUCAGAUUGAACGCUGGCGGCAGGCCUAACACAUGCAAGUCGAACGGUAACAGAAGCAGCUUGCUGCUUCGCUGACGAGUGGCGGACGGGUGAGUAAUGUCUGGGAAACUGCCUGAUGGAGGGGGAUAACUACUGGAAACGGUAGCUAAUACCGCAUAACGUCGCAAGACCAAAGAGGGGGACCUUCGGGCCUCUUG